AAUAGAUACCCGGGUAGUCCUCGCCGUAAACGAUGACCACUAGGCGUGGGAGGUAUCGACCCUUUCCGUGCCGCAGCUAACGCGAUAAGUGGUCCGCCUGGGGAGUACGGUCGCAAGACUAAAACUCAAAGGAAUUGACGGGGACCCGCACAAGCAGCGGAGCGUGUGGUUUAAUUCGAUGCAACGCGUAGAACCUUACCAGGGUUUGACAUGCACGCGCACCGUCCAGAGAUGGACGUGCCCGCAAGGGACGCGUGCACAGGUGCUGCAUGGCUGUCGUCAGCUCGUGCCGUGAGGUGUUGGGUUAAGUCCCAUAACGAGCGCAACCCCUAUGGUUAGUUGAAACUCUCUAACCAGACUGCCACUUGAAAGUGGAGGAAGGUGGGGAUGACGUCAAGUCAGCACGGCCCUUACAUCCUGGGCGACACACACGCUACAAUGGCCCAGACAAUGGGUAGCCACCCCGCGAGGGGGAGCCAAUCUCAGCAAACUGGGUCUCAGUUCGGAUUGGAGGCUGCAACCCGCCUCC
rnacentral:rRNA from 1 species